rnacentral:rRNA from 1 species
AUUGAACGCUGGCGGCAGGCCUAACACAUGCAAGUCGAGCGGAUGAAGGGAGCUUGCUCCUGGAUUCAGCGGCGGACGGGUGAGUAAUGCCUAGGAAUCUGCCUGGUAGUGGGGGAUAACGUCCGGAAACGGGAGCUAAUACCGCAUACGUCCUGAGGGAGAAAGUGGGGGAUCUUCGGACCUCACGCUAUCAGAUGAGCCUAGGUCGGAUUAGCUAGUUGGUGGGGUAAAGGCCUACCAAGGCGACGAUCCGUAACUGGUCUGAGAGGAUGAUCAGUCACACUGGAACUGAGACACGGUCCAGACCCCUACGGGAGGCAGCAGUGGGGAAUAUUGGACAAUGGGCGAAAGCCUGAUCCAGCCAUGCCGCGUGUGUGAAGAAGGUCUUCGGAUUGUAAAGCACUUUAAGUUGGGAGGAAGGGCAGUAAGUUAAUACCUUGCUGUUUUGACGUUACCAACAGAAUAAGCACCGGCUAACUUCGUG